GAUGAACGCUGGCGGCGUGCCUAACACAUGCAAGUCGAGCGAUCUUCUUCGGAAGAGAGCGGCGGGACGGGUGAGUAACGCGUGGGUAACCUGCCCUGUACACACGGAUAACAUACCGAAAGGUAUGCUAAUACGAGAUAAAUAUACUUUUAUCGCAUGGUAGAAGUAUCAAAGCUUUUGCGGUACAGGAUGGACCCGCGUCUGAUUAGCUAGUUGGUAAGGUAACGGCUUACCAAGGGCACGAUCAGUAGCCGACCUGAGAGGGUGAUCGGCCACAUUGGAACUGAGACACGGUCCAAACUCCUACGGGAGGCAGCAGUGGGGAAUAUUGCACAAUGGGCGAAAGCCUGAUGCAGCAACGCCGCGUGAGCGAAUGAAGGCCUGGUCGUAAAGCUCUGUCCUCAAGGAAGAUAAUGACGGUACUUAGA
rnacentral:rRNA from 1 species